rnacentral:rRNA from 1 species
AGUGAACGCUGGCGGUAGGCCUAACACAUGCAAGUCGAACGGCAGCACAGUAAGAGCUUGCUCUUACGGGUGGCGAGUGGCGGACGGGUGAGGAAUACAUCGGAAUCUACUUUUUCGUGGGGGAUAACGUAGGGAAACUUACGCUAAUACCGCAUACGACCUACGGGUGAAAGCGGGGGAUCUUCGGACCUUGCGCGAUUGAAUGAGCCGAUGUCGGAUUAGCUAGUUGGCGGGGUAAAGGCCCACCAAGGCGACGAUCCGUAGCUGGUCUGAGAGGAUGAUCAGCCACACUGGAACUGAGACACGGUCCAGACUCCUACGGGAGGCAGCAGUGGGGAAUAUUGGACAAUGGGCGCAAGCCUGAUCCAGCCAUACCGCGUGGGUGAAGAAGGCCUUCGGGUUGUAAAGCCCUUUUGUUGGGAAAGAAAGGCAGCAGGUUAAUACCCCGCUGUUCUGACGGUACCCAAAGAAUAAGCACCGGCUAACUUCGUG